AUUGAACGCUGGCGGCAUGCCUUACACAUGCAAGUCGAACGGCAGCACGGGAGCAAUCCUGGUGGCGAGUGGCGAACGGGUGAGUAAUAUAUCGGAACGUGCCCAGUCGUGGGGGAUAACGCAGCGAAAGUUGUGCUAAUACCGCAUACGAUCUAUGGAUGAAAGCGGGGGAUCGCAAGACCUCGCGCGAUUGGAGCGGCCGAUAUCAGAUUAGGUUGUUGGUGAGGUAAAAGCUCACCAAGCCUGCGAUCUGUAGCUGGUCUGAGAGGACGACCAGCCACACUGGAACUGAGACACGGUCCAGACUCCUACGGGAGGCAGCAGUGGGGAAUUUUGGACAAUGGACGCAAGUCUGAUCCAGCAAUGCCGCGUGCAGGGCGAAGGCCUUCGGGUUGUAAACUGCUUUGUACAGAACGAAAAGUACUUAAUAACACUAGAGGCUCAUGACGGUACUGUAAGAAUAAGACACCGGCGUAA
rnacentral:rRNA from 1 species